rnacentral:rRNA from 1 species
AGUGAACGCUGGCGGUAGGCCUAACACAUGCAAGUCGAACGGCAGCACAGUAAGAGCUUGCUCUUACGGGUGGCGAGUGGCGGACGGGUGAGGAAUACAUCGGAAUCUACUUUUUCGUGGGGGAUAACGUAGGGAAACUUACGCUAAUACCGCAUACGACCUACGGGUGAAAGCAGUGGAUCUUCGGACCUUGCGCGAUUGAAUGAGCCGAUUUCGGAUUAGCUAGUUGGCAGGGUAAAGGCCCACCAAGGCGACGAUACGUAGCUGGUCUGAGAGGAUGAUCAGCCACACUGGAACUGAGACACGGUCCAGACUCCUACGGGAGGCAGCAGUGGGGAAUAUUGGACAAUGGGCGCAAGCCUGAUGCAGCCAUACCGCGUGAGUGAAGAAGGCCUUCGGGUUGUAAAGCCCUGUUGUUGGGAAAGAAAAACAGCAGGUGAAUACCCCGACGUUCUGACGGUACCCAAAGAGUAAGCACCGGCUAACUUCGUG